AAUCUCCAGUUUUCUCACAAAUAACCGCUACACUGAAAGGAAUAGAAACCAUAAGGGCCUCUAAAAUAGAAAAAAUAUUGAUACAAGAGUUUGAUGACCAUCAGGAUAUUCAUACGUCAGCCUUCCACUUAUCACUAGCCUGUACAUACUGUUUUGGUUUAUGGUUGGAUAUCCUGUGUUUAAUAUUCACAGCGUGUGUAUCGUUCAGCUUUGUUUACAUGUAUUCAUAUUCUUCGGUGAGUGGUAGCUCAGUGGGUUUAGCACUUUCUCAGAGCUUGGUGCUAACAGGUUUGUUGCAAUUUGGAAUGAAAGCUACAGCUGAUGUCGUCCAACAAUUAACAAGUGUCGAAAGAGUUCUACAGUAUUCAAGACUGGAUUGCGAAGGUCCAUUUGAAACGC